UACGUAGGGCGCAAGCGUUAUCCGGAAUUAUUGGGCGUAAAGAGCUCGUAGGCGGUUUGUCGCGUCUGCCGUGAAAGUCCGGGGCUCAACUCCGGAUCUGCGGUGGGUACGGGCAGACUAGAGUGAUGUAGGGGAGACUGGAAUUCCUGGUGUAGCGGUGAAAUGCGCAGAUAUCAGGAGGAACACCGAUGACGAAGGCAGGUCUCUGGGCAUUAACUGACGCUGAGGAGCGAAAGCAUGGGGAGCGAACAGG
rnacentral:rRNA from 1 species